rnacentral:lncRNA from 1 species
CAGCUUGAGCGCCGAAUUCAGUUGUGUUUUACGGGUAUCCACGAGCGGUUCGGUUUUACAGACGAACUGGCGCAUGUUGGACGGCAGCGAAACGACGGACGACGCGACGGUGUAAAGGUGGCAAAGACGACGAGACGCGCAGUGUACCGUGGCGCUACGAAUUGUGUGCAAAGUGUAGAGAAACAAAACGAAAUAGUAAUAAUAAAUUUUUUUUUGUGUGAAAGAGUGGUGUGACGCAGCAUACCUUUUGGAGUCAAAGAAUUGCUGGGCUCACCCAAGAGCUGCAGAAGAAGCAAUUUCACAAAAUCACCAAAGAAUAUCGCUUUCUGUGUAAAGGCAGCAAAAGUUAACUACAGGCAAUGCGGCAGCCAGCCAUAUUAACAUUUCAACAACGUGCACAGCAAUAGGCAAGCGCAGUGGCUAA